CUCACUUCUCUUAAACAUUUCACGGUCACAUGAUCUAAGACACAUUUAAAAAGUUAUAGGCGUAAAUGCUCUUUUCGUCCUUACAUUUUGGGGUCAUUUCUAUUUUGAUUCCUAUAUUUCUAUUUUAUCACUUUUAAUCCUAAAUCCAAUUAACGCUUGUUAUUUAAGUCCUUUCCGUCAGCCAACAGACGGAAAUGACUGACGUGGCUAACGGACUGAUUAAAAUAUUAAUAAAAAUCCACCAUUGCUCUUGUCUCCCAUGCCACCUAGGUUUCCCGCCCCAUUUUUCGCACGUGACCCUCACUGCCCCCCCAAAUCAGUACCAAAAACCCAAAAUCCCCCAAAUCAGUACCAGAAACCCUAAACUCCCAAAAUUCGAGCUUCGACUUUUACCCACACAGCUAAUCCUCAUCUCCCAAAACCACGAUCAAAACAAACAAUCUUCGAAGCCCAAUGGAAGCAAGCUGUUCAACAAAUUCCAGUGUGAGAAGGAGAGCACCAAUGACGUGCUACUGUAAUAAAAAACUUGUCCUAGUUGUGACGUGGACUGAAGACAACCCUGGCAGAAGGUUCUAUGGUUGUCCAAACUACUGGAGCAUUAUCUGUGUUUCAGGUGGGGCGGAAGUGUAGGUUCUUCCAAUGGCGUGAUGAUGAGAUAUGUGAACGUGGUAAGGUGUUUAUCCCACAGCAAAGGCAAAGGAUCAUCAAACUUGAGGCUGAGCUUGUAGACUGCAAGAAAAGAGAGAAGUUUUUAGUUGUAGUUGUGGCAUUGUUUGUGGUGAUAUUUGCAGUUCUAUGUUUGCUUAGGUAGGGGGUGGGAAUAACUUGUGUGGGUUGUUGUGCUUGUUAGUGCAUGUAGGGUUGUAGUGUUUAUGUAUGGAGGGUUGCAGUGUUUAUGUAUGGAGGGUUGCAGUGUUAAUGUAUGGAGGGUUGGCAGUGGCAGUGUGCUCUAUUUUAGUAGGAUUAGUUAUUAGCAAUGACACA